CUGGUAUAUCCGUAGCAGCAAUGAGUCUGGGCAUUGAAGUUCUUGAUUUUAAGGGCCGGUAGCUAUUAUUUUCGUCUUGGAACCGCGAUCGCCUGAGUUUGUUAAGAAUUCCCCCAAGCACAAUAUCAGACGCUCUGCCUGGAAUAUACAGCAAACUACUUCCUCCACUAAAAUUGGCACCAACGUUAUAUCUCUGCAGCUCCUCAGCAGUAACAUUGAACCGACUUGCAAUUGACACCAAAUUAUCCUCGGGCCUAAGAGGAUACGUGAUGAACAACCCAUAAUCCUUGGAAAUGACCCUGUC
rnacentral:misc_RNA from 1 species